rnacentral:rRNA from 1 species
GACGAACGCUGGCGGCGUGCUUAACACAUGCCAGUCGAACGGAAAGGCCCUGCUUUUGUGGGGUGCUCGAGUGGCGAACGGGUGAGUAACACGUGAGUAACCUGCCCUUGACUUUGGGAUAACUUCAGGAAACUGGGGCUAAUACCGGAUAGGAGCUCCUGCUGCAUGGUGGGGGUUGGAAAGUUUCGGCGGUUGGGGAUGGACUCGCGGCUUAUCAGCUUGUUGGUUGGGUAGUGGCUUACCAAGGCUUUGACGGGUAGCCGGCCUGAGAGGGUGACCGGCCACAUUGGGACUGAGAUACGGCCCAGACUCCUACGGGAGGCAGCAGUGGGGAAUAUUGCACAAUGGGCGGAAGCCUGAUGCAGCAACGCCGCGUGCGGGAUGACGGCCUUCGGGUUGUAAACCGCUUUCGCCUGUGACGAAGCGUGAGUGACGGUAAUGGGUAAAGAAGCACCGGCUAACUACGUG